GGAGAGGUGGCCGAGCGGCUGAAGGCGCUCCCCUGCUAAGGGAGUAUACGGCGACCCCGUAUCGUGGGUUCGAAUCCCACCCUCUCCG
rnacentral:tRNA from 2 species